rnacentral:rRNA from 1 species
GAACUGUGGGGACGCAGAAGGAGAGCACUACCUGGAAUGGAAUCCAGGGGCAAGCACAGGAGGGGUACGGCUGGAAAAACCGCCGUGCAACCCAAAGGUGUGACGCAUACCGAACUAAAGUAGGGAAAUGUGUGAGCCGGCUGCCGAGAAAAGCCGCUAUUGUUUGUACUGUACCCGUACCGUAAACCGACACAGGUGGAUGAGGAGAGAAUCCUAAGGCCGACGGAAGAAGCAUUGCUAAGGAACUCGGCAAAAUGACCCUGUAACUUCGGGAGAAAGGGUGCCUCGAAAGAGGCCGCAGAGAAUAGGCCCAAGCAACUGUUUAGCAAAAACACAGGUCUAUGCAAAACCGCAAGGUGAAGUAUAUGGGCUGACGCCUGCCCGGUGCUGGAAGGUUAAGGGGAGAUGUCAGGAGACGAAGCAUCGAACUUAAGCCCCAGUAAACGGCGGCCGUAACUAUAACGGUCCUAAGGUAGCGAAAUUCCUUGUCGGGUAAGUUCCGACCCGCACGAAAGGCGUAAUGAUUUGGGCGCUGUCUCGGCAAUGCAUCCGGUGAAAUUGAAGUGCCAGUGAAGAUGCUGGCUACCCGCGCCAGGACGGAAAGACCCCAUGGAGCUUUACUCCAGCUUGAUACUGGGAUUCGGUAUUGUAUGUACAGGAUAGGUGGGAGGCUGAGAAAUGGUGACGCCAGUCGCCAUGGAGCCGCUGUUGGGAUACCACCCUUGCAGUACUGGAUUUCUAACCAGCAGCCGUGAUCCGGCUGGGGGACAAUGUCAGGUGGGGAGUUUGACUGGGGCGGUCGCCUCCGAAAGGGUAUCGGAGGCGCUCAAAGGUUCCCUCAGAAUGGUCGGAAACCAUUCGAAGAGUGCAAAGGCAGAAGGGAGCUUGACUGCGACACCGACGGGUGGGGCAGGUACGAAAGUAGGACUUAGUGAUCCGGUGGUAUUAAGUGGGAAUGCCAUCGCUCAACGGAUAAAAGCUACCCUGGGAUAACAGGCUUAUCACUCCCAAGAGUUCACAUCGACGGAGUGGUUUGGCACCUCGAUGUCGGCUCAUCGCAUCCUGGGGCUGUAGUAGGUCCCAAGGGUUGGGCUGUUCGCCCAUUAAAGCGGUACGCGAGCUGGGUUCAGAACGUCGUGAGACAGUUCGGUCCCUAUCCGGCGUGGGCGUAGGAUAUUUGAGAGGAGCUGACCUUAGUACGAGAGGACCGGGUUGGACUGACCUCUGGUGCACCGGUUGUCAUGCCAAUGGCACAGCCGGGUAGCCAAGUCGGGAAGGGAUAAACGCUGAAGGCAUCUAAGCGUGAAGCCCCCCUCAAGAUGAGAUAUCCCCCGCAUAAGCGGUAAGACCCCUUGAAGACGACGAGGUAGAUAGGGCAGAGGUGGAAGUGCAGUAAUGUAUGGAGCUGACUGCUACUAAUAGGUCGAAGGCUUAAC